CAAAAACUAGGAUGACCCUUCAGAGUAACAUAUGACCCUUUUGAAGAAUGAAAAGCGUUCGCUAACACCCCACAGGAUAAGAUCUUUUUUAAAUCAGCAGCAAGGCAAUGCAGAACACCACUCAAGUAAGGUAUUUACUUCGCUCUUCCUUCCUCUUCUUCUUCUUCUCUUUCGAUUUAUCCUUGGAUUUGUGCUUCUUCGAGCUAGCAGCCUUAACUUUUUUUGAUUUCUUCCUGUCAUAGUCAAGCUCCUCUUUGGAAGAAUCAUAUAACUUCCGUGAAGGCUUCUCUGGUCCAUACACACGGCGUUCUUGUACACCGGGGCUCACUAGCAGCUCGUCCCUGGAGUCUGAAUCACGUGGAAGAUAUGGACCCGCUUCAUCCAUCCUUG
rnacentral:lncRNA from 1 species